UGCCUCUGGGUUGGUGAACACAUCAGAUGCUGGGCAGGUGGUGUGUUGCCUCCCUCCAUACCAUGCAUCUCUUCCCUUUGGCUGAUCCUGAGGUGUAUCCCUUAGAAAUAAGCUGGUAAAUAAUAAUGCUGUGUGCUCCCUCUUUGCCUGCUACUGAACAAUGACGUCUCUUGUUGUGAACCCCACUGGCAGAGCACGGACCAUGGAAGCAUCUUUUGGCAGCAUCAGAGAACUGAGCAUCUCAAAGCAUGAGUUCUUCUGUUUCUUCUGCGUGGGUUGACCAUGGGCAUCAGGCAUCAGAGAUACAACUCUGGAUUUUGUCCAUCCAUUGCUGGGCACUCUGUCCAUCCUGGGCGCAGAAGUUAUACACACGUUUGCUGGUCUUGAGCUACAAAACCAAAUGACAGUGAACCAGAGAUGAAAGGCAGGGCUGUUUUAUGGAUUUGGGAGUCUACUGCUAAGAUUUCAGCAUGUCCUGUGGCUGAGUUAAUCAGAGUUAUGACAGGAAGGUACCGGGCACACCAUCGCAGUGCUCCAUCAAUGCUAGUAUGUUGUGUUCUUUCCUUCAUAUCAAGUCAACUCAAGCUUGCUCUACUUACCUGGUGUACACAGUCUAAGAACUGUAAGAAGACUGGAGC
rnacentral:antisense_RNA from 1 species